AUCUCCAGUUGUAAUCUCCAACACCCGAAGUAUUUAAAGUUAUGGUCUCUAAAUUUUAAGAAUUUGGCAAUGACCAACAGAGGAAGCUCUUUGGUAACCGAUAGUCCACACAGAAUCUUACCGCUUUUCAAAAUUUGUAUACCAUCAUUAUUAGAUAACUCUUAGAGGAAAAAGUUAUUUCAGUAAGAAAAAUAUUACUUAGUAUAUUAGAUCAAGGUGCAGUCUAUAAAGAGGUCAGAAUGGGUUACAAGAAAACUUACUAUGGAUAAAGAGCUUAAACACUCUUUUCAAGAAGGAUUUAGUAGUAAUAACAGUUUGAUAAGCUGGUAUGAUAAAAGAUCUAGAUUGAGUACACAUCACCCGUCACUUUUAUCCAAAAAUGACAUGUCGUAACAUAG
rnacentral:rRNA from 1 species